UGCGAACAGUUUUCAAAUUUGCAAGAAAAAGUUCUUGCAAAAUAUGGCGAUUUGUUUCUUCACAUUCAAAGUGAUUUUUUACGAACUUUAGCUAUCAUUAGGGCUAAGAAUCCGUCUCGUGGGGUCAAGCGCUCGAAAAAUGAUUCUUGGACCAAGAAAAAUCCUCUCGAUGGAAUUGUUGAAAUUCUCAAGAUGGACGAUCCUGUUGGGUACAACAAUAUGCCAAUCCUAUUCGUACACGAAGCACCUGAAGGGAUUAAUGGUGGAACAUUCGUCUGGAAGGAGUGCACUAUCAAGAUAGCAGCCAAUAUUCUUGAUUGUUUCCGAAUCCUUUGCGAAGCAAUUAAUGUAUUCAACUGCGACAUUAGUCCCGAGAACAAGCAGUUCUAUGCG